GUGGUCAAUCUCACAAGGCAGAGGGAAAGGGGUAAACCCUAAUUCUCAAGAAAUCUCCAAAUUGAAAAGGGAAUUGAAGGUUUUUAGGAUGCAUGUAUCAAGAUUAUCGAUCUCCUAAGUGUUCUUCACUAUCAAGAACGUGUCAAGGAGAGGUCAAGCAUAGGAGGAUAACGGGUCAAGAUAAGGCAAGGUGACAAAUACACUUAAUGGAGUACUCGAGGUAAGUGAAUUUCGAUUCACUUUUUAGUAGGUUUAAUAGAUUUUAAUACUUAUGUUUACGAAACAUCAUGAAAGAACAUGUAAUAAUCAGAAGUACAAAGCCAAUAAUGCCUCAUUAUUGAGGAAGGUUGUAUUAAGCCGAAAGUAAAUUGGUGGGUUUAAACGGGUCGACUUUUAUGUGCAUAUGUUGCGUAAUGUAAUGAAAUUCGUUAUGGUUAAGACCUUGGGUAGGAAUUUUUAGUCAUUAUGUAAGGGGAACACUUCCCGGACCAUUAGGAACAAGUUUUAUAUGAUUCGGUUGUCGGUUAGUUAAUGAACGGAUUGUUUCAUGUUAGUGUAGGAAAUUUUAUAAGUAUAUGUGUAUAGGAACCCAAAGGGCACGUGGGUUGAAUCAUAGAUUGUUUAUACUAUGUAAAGUUGUGAAUGUGACAUUCCGGCAUAAACCUACAUGUAAAAGAAGCUUGUGUAUAUAUUCGUGAUUAAUUGAUUGUGCGUAGGAAGGAACAUUGGCAUGUAUGAAGGUACGCAUGUAUAUGUAAGUGUGUAUAUAUAUAUAUAUAUGUAUGUAUAUAUGAUAAUAAGUACGUAGGUGUGAAUGUAUGUGUGAAUGAAUGUUCAAUGCUUAAGACAUAUGCAUGAACGUUAUCAAAGUGUUCGAGUAUUUAUGGUUACUAAUGAUGUGCGUUGAGUUGGAAUGUAAUGUAGGUAUGGGAUCGUUGGCUUCAUGAAGAAAUGGGCUGGAUUUGGAUAAGAGUAUUUAAGAAAGCGCUUGGACAAUUCCACGACUACUUUAUAGAAUGCUCUACGAAAUUCUAUUAUAUAGUUUAAUGUUGUAUGGUAUGUUAAUGACUAAUGGUUUGGUUGUACGUGGUGUCCACAGGUAUCGCUUGGGUUUUCUCUACAUUUAUUGAAGUGAAGCGGACUUAGUUCGAGUUGAGAGCAAGGAUUGUACGGGGUAGAAUGGUCACAUAGUGUAACUCAUAUAGAUUUUGAAGUAUUUGAACCUUCAUGUGUUUGAUAUGUCUAUUAAAGAACGAAAUUUUUGG
rnacentral:lncRNA from 1 species